CCCGGAUCCAGCCUUUGAGCCCGACAUCAAAAGUAAAAGGUCUGGCAUUCAACAAAUAUUCAUGGCUAACAACCCACAACUCUUACGCUCUUAUGGGCGCUAAAUCGGCGACGGGUACUACUCUACUAUCGCCUACGAAUCAAGAGGACUCCGUUACCAGUCAACUCAACAAUGGGGUCAGAGGUCUUAUGCUAGAUAUGUAUGACUUUCAAAGUGACAUAGCCAGAUGUCAUUU
rnacentral:misc_RNA from 1 species